GCGGGAGUAGCUCAGCGGUAGAGCAUAACCUUGCCAAGGUUGGGGUCGCGAGUUCGAACCUCGUCUCCCGCUCCA
rnacentral:tRNA from 4 species